rnacentral:rRNA from 1 species
UACGAGGGGGGCAAGUGUUGUUCGGAAUCACUGGGCGUAAAGGGAGCGUAGGCGGAUGUUUAAGUCGGGAGUUUAAAACCGGGGCCCAACCCCGGGGCGGCUCCCGAAACUGGGCAUCUUGAAUAGGUCAGAGGCUGGUGGAAUUGGAGGUGUAGCGGUGGAAUGCGUAGAGAUCUCCAAGAACACCUAUUGCGAAGGCAGCCAGCUGGGACCAUAUUGACGCUGAGGCUCGAAAGCAUGGGGAGCAAACAGG